rnacentral:rRNA from 1 species
GACGAACGCUGGCGGCGUGCUUAACACAUGCAAGUCGAACGGAAAGGCCCUGCUUUUGUGGGGUGCUCGAGUGGCGAACGGGUGAGUAACCCGUGAGUAACCUGCCCUUGACUUUGGGAUAACUUCAGGAAACUGGGGCUAAUACCGGAUAGGAGCUCCUGCUGCAUGGUGGGGGUUGGAACGUUUCGGCGGUUGGGGAUGGACUCGCGGCUUAUCAGCUUGUUGGCGGGGUAGUGGCUUACCAAGGCUUUGACGGGUAGCCGGCCUGAGAGGGUGACCGGCCACAUUGGGACUGAGAUACGGCCCAGACUCCUACGGGAGGCAGCAGUGGGGAAUAUUGCACAAUGGGCGGAAGCCUGAUGCAGCAACGCCGCGUGCGGGAUGACGGCCUUCGGGUUGUAAACCGCUUUCGCCUGUGACGAAGCGUGAGUGACGGUAAUGGGUAAAGAAGCACCGGCUAACUACGUG